CCUACGGGGGGCAGCAGUGAGGAAUAUUGGUCAAUGGACGCAAGUCUGAACCAGCCAUGCCGCGUGCAGGAAGACGGCUCUAUGAGUUGUAAACUGCUUUUGUACGAGGGUAAACGCAGAUACGCGUAUCUGUCUGAAAGUAUCGUACGAAUAAGGAUCGGCUAACUCCGUGCCAGCAGCCGCGGUAAUACGGAGGAUUCAAGCGUUAUCCGGAUUUAUUGGGUUUAAAGGGUGCGUAGGCGGUCUGAUAAGUUAGUGGUGAAAGCCCGAGGCUCAACUUCGGAAUUGCCUCUGAUACUGGUCGGCUAGAGAGUAGUAGCGGUAGGCGGAAUGCAUGGUGUAGCGGUGAAAUGCUUAGAGAUCAUACAGAACACCGAUUGCGAAGGCAGCUUACCAAGCUACUUCUGACGUUGAGGCACGAAAGCGUGGGGAGCAAACAGGAUUAGAUACCCCUGUAGUC
rnacentral:rRNA from 1 species